rnacentral:rRNA from 1 species
CUGAUACCGCCCAAGAGUUCAUAUCGACGGCGGUGUUUGGCACCUCGAUGUCGGCUCAUCACAUCCUGGGGCUGAAGUAGGUCCCAAGGGUAUGGCUGUUCGCCAUUUAAAGUGGUACGCGAGCUGGGUUUAGAACGUCGUGAGACAGUUCGGUCCCUAUCUGCCGUGGGCGCUGGAGAAUUGAGGGGGGCUGCUCCUAGUACGAGAGGACCGGAGUGGACGCAUCACUGGUGUUCGGGUUGUCAUGCCAAUGGCACUGCCCGGUAGCUAAAUGCGGAAGAGAUAAGUGCUGAAAGCAUCUAAGCACGAAACUUGCCCCGAGAUGAGUUCUCCCUGAGACUAUAAGUCUCCUGAAGGAACGUUAAAGACGAUGACGUUGAUAGGCCGGGUGUGUAAGCGCAGCGAUGCGUUGAGCUAACCGGUACUAAUGAACCGUGAGGCUUAACCUUACAACGCCGAAG